AUUGAACGCUAGCGGGAUGCCUUACACAUGCAAGUCGAACGGAGUGGCGAACGGGUGAGUAAUGUAUCGGAACGUGCCCAGUAGCGGGGGAUAACUACGCGAAAGCGUAGCUAAUACCGCAUACUAUUGGAGCGGCCGAUAUCGGAUUAGCUAGUUGGUGGGGUAACGGCUCUCCAAGGCGACGAUCCGUAGCUGGUUUGAGAGGACGACCAGCCACACUGGGACUUGGAACCGGCCCAGAAUCCUGCGGGAGGCAGCUGGGGGGAAGUUUGGGCAAUGGGGGAAACCCUGAUCCAGCCCUCCCGCGUGUGCGAUGAAGGCCUUCGGGUUGGAAAGCACUUUUGGCAGGAGAGCGGUACCUGCAGAAUAAGCACCGGCUAACUACGUGCCAGCAGCCGCGGUAAUAC
rnacentral:rRNA from 1 species